AUGAGUAAAUUUUUUUCUCCAUAUUGAAUUCAUAAGGAAAGUACUACUUAAUAAUGAAAGUAAUUCAUAUAUUGUCUAGAUAAACUGAAAAAUAUCCAUAAUUUCACUCGAAAAUACUCUUUCCUGUACAUAUUAAGUGUCAGCACAUGAUUAAUUAAGAAAAGUAUUAAUUAGAUGCUACUAUAUAUCCACUAUUGCCCUUUUGAUCUUCAUAAUUAAAUGAAUUUAAGUACCAAAAAUUUUCUUGUGCUAUGAACAAUCAUUUUAUUUUAGACUAUGAAAAAAGUCUCAAUCAUUCACAUAAUAUGACUAGAUAGAGUAUGAGUGUAUUUUUUGUUAUCUCUAAUUUUAAAAAUCAUACAUAAAUCAAUAACACUUGUCAUAGAUUAUUUUUAAUGGUCCUGCAUGAUUUUUUAAGCUUUUAAUGUUUUACCCUAACAACUAACUACUUCAUGAUCUAAUAUUAAAUAUUAAUUAAUAGGGGAAAUCUUGUAAAAUUUUCUCUUCAUUGUGGUUGUCGACUUGGUGGCUACUUAAAAAAUAAUUGGGAGAUCUAGUUAUGUUAUCCUUUAACAGAUUUUCUUUCAAAGUGUUUUCAUUAGUUUUUGCUUUUCAUCUAUGGUGAAUAAAUUCUCCACUUUAUCCCUUCCUAAAAUGUUGAAUUUGGUCUAAUCUUUCUUCGUUCAAAUUACAAUAAGAUUGUAUGUAAUAAGAUUUUAAUGGGUGUUCUCUUUUGAGUCAACUCUUCCUUGCAGCAGAACUACAGAUUUAUAUUGUUUCUUGAGUAAAAUGUUUCCCUCUCUGAAUCUUCUCUAAGUAUUGCCUUUUCUUCUUCAGUUUUAAUCAAGUACCGCACAACUUUGAGGACUCUUGAAAAAAAGCAGUGGCUCGAGAUUCUCAAUCGCUCUUUUUAGUGAAAAGAAAUAGCAUGGAAAGGGAGCGAGGACAAGCCGAGCUGAAUUGAGAGGAGGGAGAUCAGAAUUUUGUUCACAUGUUGCAAUGUAUGUUUCCAGUAGUAAUGGUUUGAUAGGCUUCAGGUGCAACGUGUGAUUACAAAAUAGUUAAUUUUUAACAUUAGAGCAGUUAUUGGAUAUAUAUUUCUCAUGUCGCUGAUGUUUCUUCUUCACAAAGAUAGUUGAGGAUGAAAUUUAUUCUUCGGAUAUGAUUUGAGAAUGUUUUUGAACAAAAACUCUCUGAAUAUUGGGUCAACGAUGAUGGCAUGUAUGCAAUACUUUCAUGUUAACGAAACAUAAGUUGCUAUGCCAAAGUCAGCCUUGAUAUUUCAGAACCCAAAAUAAUAUAGCAACAUUAAUUCAACUAUAAGUUUUUCUAAAGAGGAGAUGGUGCUAAACUUAGGUCCAUUGAUGGUUCUUAAAGGGUACUUGACCUAGAAAAUACAACAUAUUUGUUUGUGUUAUUUAUGUUUAAGAAUCGGUAGUAAUAUCUGUUGACACCCAAUUUCAAUCCUCCUCGAUAUAAAUUAGUUCUCGACUCUUAAAUUUUUGAAAUAAUUUAAAAUAAUUAAUUUUAUAAAUUUUGCUAAAAAUAUAAAUUUUGCAUUAUUUUAAAUACUUUUGCCAUUUUCUUAUAACCACACGAAGUGAGUGCCAAAUAAAUUCAGAAAGAUUAUUCAAAAAGACAUAGACUAAGAAACAUGCUGAGAUGGUUGCACUUGAACCAUAAAAUAAGUAAAUUUGUUUCGACUAGAAUUUUAUUCAAAGCGGAGAUACCAACAUAAACAGGGCAAGAUACGCUAGGCAGAGAUAACCAUAGGGAGAUCAAAUCACCACGAAAUCAACACAAGGAAACGCCACUACGGCAAGCGACUUAUAUAAAUGAAACCAAACUAAAAUCAAAAUAGAAGGAAAAAAAAAGGUAACAGAACUUAGACUAACUUGUUGUCAUCCCGAUUGUUGGACUGAAUCUAAGCAAAUAAACUUUAGGACAUGAUAAACUAACAUGCUGCUUUUGGAGACUGAAAAUAAAGACUAGACCUUGAUAACGACUCUAUAAAACAACCAAAAGGAUAGUUUGAAACGGGUAGCGAAAAUGAGACG